rnacentral:misc_RNA from 1 species
UAACAAUGGAAAUUUACUUCCACAGCAAAUUUCUGUGGCCUCAGUUGGCUCACCCAGUUCUCACCAUCUUGCAAGUGGACCAACUCCACAGUAUAACAAUGGAAACUUUCUCCCACAAGGUUUUGCUGCCCAAGUUGCUCACCAUACUUCAAGUGGGCCACCUUUACAGUUCAACAACGCAAACUUUCUCCCACAACAGGGCUCUGCUUCCCCAGCUGUCUCACAAGCUGCUCACUAUGCAACAGGAGCAACUCCACAGUUUAACGAUGGUAACUUUACUCCCACAGCAGGGUUCUACUGCCGUAGUUGGCUUACAAGUUGCACACCAAACUGCAACAGGAGCAAGACCACAAUUUAACAAUGGAAACCUUAUGCCUCAACAAGGGUCUGCUGCCCCAGUUGUUUCACAAGUUGGCUAUCAAGCUCCAGCCGUACCUGCUGCUCAACAUAAUAGUGACUUAUUUUCACAAGGGUCAAACACUCCCAUGGCUUCUCAGACGGCUCCUCCAUCUUCAACAGGAUCGCUUGCAAUAGUUCCACAAUCAUCCAAGGACAAAUUUGAGACGAAGUCAGCAGUUUGGGCAGAUACACUGAACAGAGGG